rnacentral:rRNA from 1 species
AACCGGGAUUGCCUCAGUAACGGCGAGUGAAGCGGCAGAGCUCAAUUUGAAAGCUGGCUCCUUCGGGGUCCGCAUGUGUAAUGUUGCAGAGGAUGCUUCGGGUGCGGCCCCUGUCUAAGUGCCCUGGAACGGGCCGUCAGAGAGGGUGAGAAUCCCGUCUGGGAUGGGGUGUCCGCGCCCGUGUGAAGCUCCUUCGACGAGUCGAGUUGUUUGGGAAUGCAGCUCUAAAUGGGUGGUAAAUAUCAUCUAAAGCUAAAUACUGGCCGGAGACCGAUAGCGCACAAGUAGAGUGAUCGAAAGAUGAAAAGCACUUUGAAAAGAGAGUUAAAAAGCACGUGAAAUUGUUGAAAGGGAAGCGCUUGCGACCAGACUCGCCUCCAGGGUUCAGCCGGCAUUCGUGCCGGUGUACUUCCCUGGGGGCGGGCCAGCGUCGGUUUGGGCGGCCGGUCAAACGCUCCCGGAAUGUAGUGCCCUCCGGGGCACCUUAUAGCCGGGAGUGCAAUGCGGCCAGCCUGGACCGACGAACGCGCUUCGGCACGGACGCUGGCAUAAUGGUCGUAAACGACCCGUCUUGAAACACGGACCAAGGAGUCUAACAUCUACGCGAGUGUUCGGGUGUCAAACCCGUACGCGCAAGUGAAAGCGAACGGAGGUGGGAGCCCCUCGUGGGGCGCACCAUCGACCGAUCUGAUGUCUCGGAUGAUCGAGUACAGCGUAAUGUGGGA